GUUUUAUGCACCGUCGCACAUAGCCACUAUUUAGCUCAUAAAUAGACCGACUACGAACAAACCAUGUUUAGCCCAGAAUAACCUUGAAUUUAAUAAAAUGUUGUUUUUGCCAAAAUAACUUGCAAGAUGUAUGAUAUUUCAUCAGGCAUGCAAAGACACCAGUGAAUUCAAGAUGUUUGGUUUUAUUUAUCUUAUCUGAAUAUCUGCUGUCACGCAUAACAUUCAUUAUUGAUAUACAAAAUCCAGUUACAACUCCGAACCGCUAGAUGGCAGCUGCAGUACACAAACACGAGGCCAAAUCUCACGAGAAAGAUUUCCGCUGUUUGAAAAUCAACAACAACCAGCGAGCAGCCAAGGGGAAAGCAAUCUUCCACACUCGUUUGGUCUUGCGUCAAAGCUGUGUGAAACUGGAUGGAAAAACUUGAGAGACCGUGCCGGAAGAAUGCUGGACAGAGUUCCAUAAAAUUCAUUAAUUUCAAAGUUCAACAUGAAUGGUGGUAGUCCACUGCAGAAGCAAGCAUUUGAAAAAACAUCAGUUCUCAGUUAUUAAAGAUGCUGUGUUGAACAACUUCCCAGCAGCAACAGAACUGGAAGUGAAGGAUGCAAUGGGGGCAUUUCAAACAGGCACCGGGGGGGGGGGGGGGGGGUAUAGAAAUUAGUACAAUUAAUAAGUUGAAGUGAACUGAAGAUAAGUUUGUUAAUGUUUAGAUGUUAUUUCAUUUUUUAAAUUUUAUUUUGUUAUUUAUGCUUUUAUUUUGUUACUGUUUUUAUUCUUUUUGUUAAAAGUAGUUUUUCAUUUUGUCUUAUCUGAAUUUCUAUUGUAUUAACAAUAUUUCUUGUAAUAAAUUGCAUGAUUACAUGUUUAUGAGAACCUUUUUUAAUGGAUUAAAAAUAAUUCUUUAGCCA